rfam:Gossypium hirsutum cultivar TM-1 unplaced genomic scaffold scaffold712.1, whole genome shotgun sequence
UGUCAAAAAUUCAUUCAUUCCUAUUGUUAAAAAUUUGCAUGGCUGACGGAAUAAUUAGACAGCUACAUGGUUUCAUCCCACAUGUACCUCAUGCUAAUAUAUAGAAACUAAUUUUUAACAGUAAAAAUGUAUAAAAUUUUUAAUA